rnacentral:lncRNA from 1 species
CAUAAUAUGCUGGAGUUCAUACACAGGUGCACCGAACUCCAGUAUAUUAUGUUGGACCGAUUUCUAUUACAACAAAAUAACGGCUAUUUUUCAUUAACUUAGUAAAUAUUGGCUAUUUUUAAAUGACCAGUCCAAAAACCGGCUAUACCGUUCUAUUUUUACUUGCUCAACGCAUGAAAAAUCCUAGCUUUUUCUAACUUUUCUCUUCCUAUACUGGAAAUUCUCCCGAGCCCCAACCGCAAAAAGAGCUUUUUCUAAAGAAAGUUAAAAUAAAUAAAUUGUUUUAAAAAAAAAUGGGAAGAAGAUGAAGGGGCAAAAGGGUAAAUGAGGAAGGAAAGGAGAAAUUGAGAUGAGAACGAGGAGACCACCUAGAGCAAUUAACAUUUGCCACACUGAUGACCAACAAAGGAAAGUAUUCUGUUUUUGAUGCAGACAUAUUCUAUAUAAUUACCAGACUGAAUGAGAUGUUACACAAAAGAAGCAUUAUCCCUUUUGGGUUUUAUGCGAUAUUAUUUCUCUUUAAUUUCUCAAUACUACACAUCCAAG